AUUGAACGCUGGCGGCAGGCCUAACACAUGCAAGUCGAGCGGAGCGGCGGACGGGUGAGUAAUGCCUAGUAAUCUGCCUGGUGGUGGGGGAUAAAGUCCGGAAACGGGCGCUAAUACCGCAUACUAUCAGAUGAGCCUCGGGCGGAUUAGCUAGUUGGUGGGGUAAAGGCCUACCAAGGCGACGAUCCGUAACGGGGCUGAGAGGAUGAUCAGUACCACUGGAACGGAGACACGGCCCAGAGUCCUACGGGAGGCAGCAGUGGGGAAUAUUGGACAAUGGGCGAAAGCCUGAUCCAGCAAUGCCGCGUGUGUGAAGAAGGUCUUCGGAUUGUAAAGCACUUUAAGUUGGGAGGCGGUACCAACAUAAUAAGCACCGGCUAACUUCGUGCCAGCAGCCGCGGUAAUUC
rnacentral:rRNA from 1 species